CCUACGGGUGACUGCAGUGGGGGAUAUUGCACAAUGGGGGGAACCCUGAUGCAGCGACGCCGCGUGGGUGCAGAAGCGCCUCGGCGCGUAAAGCCCUGUCAGCAGGGAAGAAAAUGCCGGUACCUGAAGAAGAAGCCCCGGCUAACUACGUGCCAGCAGCCGCGGUAAUACGUAGGGGGCAAGCGUUAUCCGGAUGUACUGGGUGUAAAGGGGGCGCAGACGGCGAUGCAAGCCAGGAGGGAAAGCCCGGGGCCUAACCCCGGGCCUGCUCUUGGAACUGCGAGGUUGGAGUGAAGGAGGGGCAGGCGGAAUUCCAUGUGUAGCGGUGAAAUGCGUAGAUAUAAGGAGGAACACCGGUGGCGAAGGCGGCCUGCUGGACUGCAACUGACGUUGAGGCCCGAAAGCGUGGGGAGCAAACAGGAUUAGAUACCCCAGUAGUC
rnacentral:rRNA from 1 species